UACAGAGGUCCCAAGCGUUGUUCGGAUUCAUUGGGCGUAAAGCGCGUGUAGGCGGCUUGGCAAGUCCGCUGUGAAAACUCGAGGCUCAACCUCGAGAUGUCGGUGGAAACUGCUUGGCUAGAGUCCGGAAGAGGAGUGUGGAAUUCCUGGUGUAGCGGUGAAAUGCGCAGAUAUCAGGAAGAACACCUAUGGCGAAGGCAGCACUCUGGGACGGUACUGACGCUGAGACGCGAAAGCGUGGGGAGCGAACAGG
rnacentral:rRNA from 1 species